UAGUAAUUUUAAGGAUUCGUCUAAGGCGAAUGUAAAAGAAGAAUGUUGCUAGCUAUUUCGUUAGCGAAAAUGUAUUGAUUAUAGCGAUGUCUCGGUUGUCACAGAUCCGCCUCAGCUUUGCUAUUAGCUAACGGUAGUCUUCUGUCGUGACAUUUGUUAACUGUUUCAAAGACUGUUUACUUGUGAGAGUUUGUACGCGACAAUCAGAAUGGAGAAUGUCAGCAAGAGAAUGUCAAUAUUUAUAUGUAUAAACGUAAGCUCAUAAUAUAAUUGAAGCGCUUCUUUAAAAAAAAAAAUUCACCGAAACAAUAGAUUAGGAUGACCACGUCUGGUCUAACGGUAUGUACAAGUUUGUCCACCUAAACUUGUUUUACGUGAUUUGCACACAUUAUGUAUGCAGCUUGAUUUACGUUAAGGAAAGGUGAACUCGCAUUCAGUCUUUAGGAGUCGAUCAAGAUCGUCCUCAAAAUGCAUUCCUCUAUUUUUUUAACAGUGCUAUUAAUGUUGAUUGGUGUCAUCAACUGCCAAACGUUAAAUUUUGGACGAUGCCCUGCCCUCGAUGUCAAGCAGGAUUUCGAUUUGGCUAAGUACGCUGGAAAAUGGUACGAGUACAGCAAAAAUAGAAGAUACUGGAUCAUCAUGGAUUCCGGAUUGAAAUGCGCAUCCGAGACGUACACGUUGGAAGGUGACGACACGCUUCUCAUGCAUAACGAAGGCCAGCGAAUCAU